UUUUAAUUCAGUAGUUUCUAUCCUAGCUCUUAACCACAGGAUCCCUGUCUUUUUAUGUCACUUCAUUAUCUAAAUCUAGGAUGAGCUCCCUAGGUUUCUGAAUAAACCAGAUUCUUUCUGUUUAUUCUGUUUACCACAUCAUCUCCUUCCGUUCAAAAUUGUACUCAUAAAAGUUACCAGAACUCUGGUGGACUGGAAUCCCCCAAACAACUCCUGGAAAUUCUUC
rnacentral:lncRNA from 1 species